rnacentral:lncRNA from 1 species
AUACUUUGCCCUUCUGAUGGAUUAUAUUAGGGUGGUGCAAAAGUAAUUGCCGUUAAUUUGCCAUUAGUUAAUUAAAAGUAAUGGCAAAAGCCACAAUUAUAACAGGGCGUUUUCAGAGGUACAGUGUAGACCAUGGUGUUAACCAGCGAGUGACCACUGAACGUUAAGGGAGGUAGUGAAGAGACUAGUCUAUUUAGGAUGAUGCAGGAAAGAAAAAGGAUAACAGGAGUAAAAGGGGAUAGGAUC